GAUGAACGCUAGCGGCAGGCUUAAUACAUGCAAGUCGAACGGUAACAGAUCUUCGGAUGCUGACGAGUGGCGCACGGGUGAGGAACACGUACACAAUCUACCUUAUACAGGAGGAUAGCCCCGGGAAACUGGGAUUAAUACUCCAUAGUCUUUAAUGAUCACAUGAGAAAUAAAGUAAAGCUCCGGCGGUAUAAGAUGAGUGUGCGUCCCAUUAGAUAGUUGGUGAGGUAACGGCUCACCAAGUCUGCGAUGGGUAGCUGGCGUGAGAGCGCGACCAGCCACACUGGCACUGAGACACGGGCCAGACUCCUACGGGAGGCAGCAGUAGGGAAUAUUGGUCAAUGGACGAAAGUCUGAACCAGCCAUGCCGCGUGGAGGAUGACUGCCCUCAGGGUUGUAAACUCCUUUUAUAUAGGAAGAAACCUUUGGAUUUACUCCGAAGCUGACGGUACUAUAUGAAUAAGCACCGGCUAACU
rnacentral:rRNA from 1 species